GCCAAGUCACGUGACUCCCUAUCAAAGGGGCGUCCACAUCGUUGUUGUUGAUAACACGCUGCAAGUAAAUUUACGGUGUCAUGCUGCUUCAUUCGACCAGAUAACACUCAGAAGUUAUCCUUGAAGAUCUCGCAACCCCGGCACAGGUGUCAACAUGUCGACGUCACACAUUCCUACGUCAUUAGACAGGCGAGACACGUCGCCCCCUGACUCUCAUCUCAUCUUCUCUGUCGUCUCGCUCAUCUUCUGUCUGCCUGUGGGGAUAUUCGCGAUCCUUGCCAGCCUGAAGAUCUGUGGGGCCUUCAGACCUUCAUCACUCCGGGCUUUCCUCCCACAUAAUAACAGACCGUGAUGUAACUGAAAUACUCUUCAAAACGGAGUUAAACUCACUUAAUUGCUCA